UUUUUUUUUUUUUUUUGAAAAAAAAAAAAAAAAAAAAAAA
rnacentral:ribozyme from 17 species